rnacentral:lncRNA from 1 species
CCCACCUUUGUAUUCUUUUCCACACCCUUUACAUUUGCACCUUGUUUUUUCAUCUUCCCCAACUAUUUUUAUAAAGCUAUCCCAGACAUUAGAUGUAGUUAACCGUUUUCUCUUUUUAGCAUUUGACCCAUCAAUAGCAGCAGGUGGAAUACUUACAAGAGGUGUCGCUUGAGUUACUUCGGGCGAGACUUUGUCGUCAACAAGAUCAUCAAAGUCAUCAUCAGAGUCUGAGUUUGAGUCCAAAAAAAUUUGUUCUACCUCAGCAUUUGGAUCAACAAUAUCUCUUGCAUAGUCAUCCAUAACUCCAAAUUAAAUCACUAACAAAAAAUAAAAACACAGAAUCAGAUUAAUCCUUAUUAUAACCCAAAAUAACCCAGAACAAAACAUAAUAUAUAAAUAAAUAAAUAAUUGAUGUUAGUGUCGUACUAUUCAUCUAAAUGUUGAGAACCUAAGAUUUGUGAGAAAAGAAAUAACAUGCAUAUUUUAUUAUUAACACAAGAACUGAAAAAAGUAAUCUUACAAUAGUUGGUUGAAAAUUGAUGAGUGUGAUGACUGAAGGCUACGAAAACUAACAAAGAGUAAAAGCUGACUGAAGAAUGGAUGAGGUAAUGAAAACUGAAGGGCUAACGGUGAUGAGGUCCUCGCAAGGCUUUAAUGGUGGGGAUGCUCAUCGAUGACACCGACAAAGAAGUUACUGUCGCCGAAAGAAGGAUGAACACAUACAUAAAUAAUAAAUUUGUGAAGCUGUGGUGCUGUGCAGAAGAAUUAGGGAUUUAUGCUACUUUAGUGUGCUUUCUCUUUUUUCUUUGAACCUUUGCUCACUUGCUGUGUACAAGAAACGGAGAUUGAAGAAUUAGGGAUAGGGAUUUACUGAUUUAGCA